rnacentral:lncRNA from 1 species
AGAAACACAAGAUUUGUAACCUUGACUAUUUUAGAUAUUUCCUUCUUGGCAGGGGUUCAGAAAUACAACCUGUUUGUUACACUGUUCUUGUUGACAGAUGAGGUUCUCAGAAGUCUCGUCAGUAAGGAUUUGGUGCUUCACAAAAAAAUGCCUGUUCAGCUGUCCUAUUUCUUGAGCAGUGAAUUGGAGCACGGGGAUACAGACUCUCACCUGUAAUUAGGAAGCUCCAAGGUCUCUGAUCUUAGCACUAGACUGCCUCUGGCCACCCAAAUUUAUUGCACUUCAACUCAUCCAUGUGCUUCAUGCUCUGGUAACACUUCACUGCCCAUACUGGUCCCUGUAUGCCACCAAACUUUAAGGAUGAAAGCCCACUGGAUAAAGCUGGUCAGCCAUGGAAUGGUGGAGCCAAAGAAAAGCAGUAGGAAUGCAUGUGAAGUACAUUUGUGUGGAAGAAAUAGCAGAGACUGAUGUUUCUGACCCUACAGCCCUAAGACAGAAGAACUUGCAUAAUGGGGAAGCACUGCUCUGGUUUUCACGUCCACACAGAGCAAGUCAGCAUACUCUAUGGUGA